rnacentral:misc_RNA from 1 species
CUCCUCUCUUCUGCACUUCGGUCUUCACUCAGCAGCUUUCCCUCUCUUUUUCUUUAGCGUUUCCUUUCCUUUCAGCUCGGUAUGCUCUUCCUGAAUCACUUUGAAAUAAAGUUUCAAAACUUUUCAUCCAUGCUGCUGUUAACAAGUUAACUCGACGAAGCAUUUUUAUCUGACCAUUAGAAAGAGAAAUUAAAGUUCAUUGAAACCUUUUCUUUUGGUGACUUCAUUUCACAUUUCCCACUAGUAAUCUGAUUAAUUAUGUCAAUGGAGAGCGAAGUGCUGAUUUAAAUUGAUGGGUACAGAAUCAAAGGAUGCUUUAGUGGAUGAGAGUGCCAGCAUCUUCUUAUAUAGCCAUGCUGAGGUGAAUACUAAAAUAUAAUUGUUAUGGCCUUAUGGGUAAAUUAAAUUCUCAUCUCUCUAGUUUACUCAUAUUUACAAUUCAUGACAAGCUAUUUUUAAACUUACAAUGCAUCCUUCUGUCUAAUUGUGUGAAGAAAAUUAAUAUAAUGACCUUAUUAUCCUUUUGUAAAACAUAUAAUAAAUAAGAGAGGACUAAAAAAAGAGGAAUGAUAGAGUAAAAUAAAGAAAAUAAAUCUCUCUUAUUUUAACAAGAGUACAUUGACAAAAUCUUCCUUAGGUCAUCCUCCCUGUUGUGGAGAUACUGAGAUAGUGAUUUUAUGCAAAUUUCAUUAUUGUCAGUGAUGUUUUCCAUGUAAGUGGUUUCAAUAUCCAUGAUUGUGGUUUCUUUUAGAAUAUUGAUUAUUUUAAAAACUUUUUGGGUAUUUAUAAAAUAUUUUUAAUUUCAUAGCGGUGUCUUGAAUUUUAUUCCUUCUUUUAUUCUUCGCUGUUCUUUAAACAAAAUACUGCUGUUAUAAUAUUAUUUUGGGUAUAUGUGAAUUAAUAAUAAUUUGUUGUGAUAGAUUGAAAAAUAUUCUUCCCAUACACCUUCCCGCUAAGUUGCUUUUCUCUGUGGCACAGUAUGCAAGUCAAUUUUUCCCCUGAUAAAUUAUAUGAGGUUUUUUCAUGUAUUGCAAUUUUCUGGUAAACUUUUCCAUAAUUCCCAUCUGAAAACCUUGGAGCAAUGAUUGCACUGGCAUGUUUUUAUGUAACCUCUCAUCUUUUUGUAGGUUGACCAAGAUUUAUCUUAUUUGACUACUUUUGAAGAUGAAGUUACAAGAUUGCAACAAUACUUACCUGAAUAUAAAAUGGACUGUUUUGAUGGUACCAUCGGUUUUGAAACAUUCAAUUCACUAAAGGGCUUCAGUAUUGAAAGUUUUUCAUGUGCUUUCGACUAUGAUCACAUAAACUUCGAUGGUGGUAAUGAUCUUGUCAACUUAUAGUGUGUCUUUGUGCAUAUAUAUGUAUGUGCAUGCGUGUGCACACAUGCAUGCAUUGGUGCUUCUGCUUGUGUUGAUAUCGUUAUCAUUCUAAAAAAAAAUUGUAUCAAUGACAGCUCCUAACUGCAAGUAAGCAUGACACCCAAUUGCCAGCAGAGGAUGUAAAAACUCAAUCUACAAUGAUAGUUUCAUAGUGUAAUACCUUGUAAAAUCUUAAUGUGCUGCUGACAUUCAUUGUCUUUGUUCACAUGCUGUUUAUGGAAUGUUAUAAGGUGCUUAAGCCUUUCUCACACCUUGAGGGAUGUGAAUUUGGAGGACACUCCUUUUAAACAGUCAAAGAUGCAAUUUCUUUGAUAACAGAUGCCCAAACAUUAAACUAUCCACAUUGGUGCUUGUGUCAACAGAAUUUUAGCUUAUAUUUAUAACUCCUUGUGAUGUUAAAGGUCAAUGUUGAGGAAAAGCUCAAGCUGUUCUGACAUUUGUUUGCAAUGCUUAUUGGGAUGGUCAUUAUGACUUCAAAAGUGUUUGUUUGCAAAGCUGUUCCAAUCAGCUACACCUGUUGGAUAGAUACUAUUUCUUUAGGGUUGCUGUUGGGAAGCUGUUCCUUUAUAUCGGGUUUUCCACUCACCAGGAUGUUCCCAACUUCUUGAAAACAUUGUGAAAACUUCUAGAAGUCAUCUUGCCAUCAGACACUGGCUUGCAUUGAGUUUUUUUGUUAGUUUAUUUAUUUAGUUAUAUAUAUGUAUAUAUUCUGUGUCGUCAUUGUGUGUUUAGAGGAUGGUAAAAGUAAUAAUAAAAAUACAGUCCAUUGUACAUCACAGUAUGGUAUUCUUGGCUAUAACUUUCUUCUAGAGUACUCGAUAUAUUUAACUAGAGGAACACUUAUUUCCAUGAAGGAAUAGCGGCUUCCGUGUCUGGCGCUCCAUCACUACAAAUGGUAAAAAGCAAUUCUCUAUUAGCAAACACAUUUUGAAUUUCAUUUUUUGCAUUUAAGUGCAUUAUCAAACUGGGGAUAUGUUCUAUAUUUUGUAAAUCAACUGCUCCUUAUAUAGUUAAACAUCAGGUGCUGGUUCAUGGAAUCUGACAAAAUUAUAUAGUGCUUGUGGAGAAGUGUGGUUUUGCAUAUGUGUGCACCUAUGUUUUUAUUUAUAAUCUAGAGUUUUCCAUGGUUUGCUCUGAUCGUGUUUCUCUUUCAAAUUUUGCGUUUCAGUGGUUUUAAACAGAACUUUGUUUUAUAAUAAUAAUAAUAAUAAAGGUACCACCUACUUGAUUAUAGUUAAGUUGUUUAACACAUGGUUUCUUAUAUAUCAACUUUUCUCUUGUUGGUUGGCUGGAUUUUUUUGAAUUACUAGAUUUAACUUUUAUCUUUUCCUUGCACAGAUGCGCUGGAUUUGUAUCUUGCACAAGAAGGAGAGGAAACAAAGGGCAAUAGCAAUAGGCUGCAAGUCACUAACAAGAAGGUUCUUCUUGGAGAUUUUAGAACUGAUUCCGCAUGCAAGGAAACAUUGGGUGCUGAACCAGCUGAUGAAGCUCCCAAUUUGAGUUGCGGUUCAUGUGAAAAAACCAGUCUAGGAAAUGUGGCUUUGAAAAGCCACUCCCCACAUUUCCAAGAAAGAGAUUGUCAUGCCGAAAUAUCCAAUUUAUCUUCUUCAAGCGAAACAGUGCUUGAAUCUGCACGUGACAGGGAUUCCCUUUUGCUUGACAAGAUGACAGCCCAAGAUCUUUGUCAAGUCUUCAGCAGAAUAUUUGGAUGUGAAACAUCAGUUAAGGACAAGCAAUGGCUGAAACACCGUAUUGCAGUUGGUUUGCAGAACCGAGGUGAAUUAGUAGAUAGUCUGAACUUAUUGGAAUCUGGUGAAACUUCCAAGGCUGAUGAAGAAAAAGCUGUCGUUCUACUAAAUGCGGCAUUGUCUGGAAGUGCUUCUGACUUGACUGAUACAUUGGAAAACCAACUCAUUUCAAGAGAAAAACAUGUGAAAAGGAUGAGGCUUGCUAGUUGCAACUCUUUGAAAAGUGUGUCUUCUCCAGUGAGAGAGGUUGGGUUUUGUUCUGUGAACAAAAGCAAUACUGCGGAUGCACUUGUUACACAAAAGCAAACACACUGGCCUACUGGGAUAUGCACCAAAGGACUACAAGAGCAAAACUCAAGAUAUCACCACAGAAAAUGCAGGGCAUCCUACAAGAAUGCAAGAGACGAGUUCCUGAAUGUGAAAACUCAAAAGCAGCAUUGUCAAAAGGGAAUAGGAACUGCACAAUUGAGUUGUCAGGAAGAAUCUCUGAAAGGAUCCUGUGUUCAGGUUCCAUUAGAUCUUCCAGUCCAAAUAGGGGAAUCAACAAAAGAUAAUCAUUUGGUUAAUGACUUUGACAAUUGCAAGGACAAUGAGGUAUCAGUUUCAGAUGAAGAUUUUGAUAGGGAAACCUCUUCAGCUGACUCACAAAUCUCAGAAGAUGAUUCUGUAACAAGGAGAAAAAGAGCUAGAAAACGGAAACAGCGUCACCGGAGGUGGACGCCUUCUGAGGUGAUGAAGUUAAUUGAGGGUGUUUCCAAGUGUGGAGUUGGAAAAUGGACUCACAUAAAGAAGUUACUGUUUUCUUCAUCUUCUCAUCGCACAUCUGUAAAUCUCAAGGACAAAUGGCGAAAUCUUUUAAAGGCUAGCAACAAUGAGAUGCAAAAAAAGAGAAAGGUCAGUGUCUAAGCCUAAUUGGUCUUGUUUUUGUUGCCUUCAUAGGACUGACAUUGGAUCAGGGGGUCUAACUUUUUGGUAAAUGUUAAUUUUCCUUCCCUUUCUCUUUUUUUAUGUUUAAUUAUUUAAGACGAGCUAAAGAAAAAGAGGAGGGAGUAGAGGUUUGAAGUUUGAACUGCAGAGUAGGUAUCCCACCAUUGGGCUUUCAUGUAGUAUGAUAUUUUAUUUUUUGAACAUCUUGUGUGUAGUUCCAGGCCAGCUAUUGGUUUUUAUUUUCUUAGCUUAUAAAAGACCAACUCUUGUAUCUUGUUGGAGUAUUGAACGCCUGUAAACCGUAAGUCCAUAACUUAUCUUCAAUAAUAAUUGUUAUAUUAUUAUUAUUGUACCUGAAUGCAGUUAUUCCUGAUAAGAAGAAUAAUUGUUUGUUCUUUUUAUUUGUUACCAAAAGAGAAUAAGAAGUAGAAAGUUCCUUGCUAUAGCCCUGCAGUUGACUACGAAAAUCCACACUGCAAGUUUAGCUGCUCUUAUCAUGCAAAAAGAAUGACCAAGAUAUUCAUUUCUGCAGGUAGAGCAAGGGGAAACACAAUUAUCACAUCAACUAUCAGAGUCUAUUUGGUGUCAGGUUAGAGAGCUGGCUGUCAUCUAUUCAUAUCCAAGGGAAAGCAAGUCCAAAGUAUAAUGUACUCCUGUGGCUUCAUCAAUCAAUUCCUCGCAAGUAUUGCUAAUUCCUUCAGGCCUUUGACAAUUGCUGAUGGGGGUUAGUCAGCAAAGAAACCACUAGAUAUUUCGUAGACGUGGAAAGUGUGAGAGUUAUAGAAAGCUUUAGCUAGAUAAGUGAGUAAAAAGAACCAAAACAAGAGAAAGAAAGGUUACUUUAAGAAUGCCUUUCAUCUUGAAAUAGAAUCACUUUCUCCCUUCAAUUCAAACUCAUAGAUGAUACCCCACUAGGUUAAAAGAAAAACGUACAAAUGAUACAGGAUUUCUUCUUGUGAAAUUGUGGCAGUUGAAUAUGCUAUUUGUUUUGUAGCCCUUUGUUUUCUCCCCCUUAUGUCGGAGAUUAUGUUAUGCAGCUAAGUAUCCUAUCUUUUGAGUGAACAGAAAUUUUCUUAGCAUGAUUAAUGUAUUUUAUGUUCUACCUUUUCUGUGUACUGCUGGAGGAUGGGAAUUUAAUGCUGGUCGUUUCAAGACCUUUGUGUGGGAGGAGUCUUUGAUGAUCUCAUGGUUCCUAUUCAAGUAUACCCCAAUUGAGCUGAUUGAAUGUGAAGUUCUAUUUUUUUUGACCUGACCUUGCUUGUGAUCCCCACCACCACCUUGAUGGACUACUUACUGUCUUGUGCAUCCCAAACGGCUUUCUACUCGACUUUUGGCUUUUGAGAUAUCUUGUUUGUAUGACCCUCCUCAAGUCCACUUCUGGUUGGUCUCCACUAGCAAGCAAUUGGCUCAAUCCUUUUCCCCGUUAUUUUGUGAAUGGCUGCCGUGAUGCUCUUCAUAUUGAAUAUGAGAUGUACUCUUUCAAGUUUCCAAUUUUCAGCAGGAAGACUUAAUGCUAACGACACUUGCGACAUCUUCAAGUACUUUGAGUUGGACCAUAAAAAGCCCAUCUGUCCUUAUCAUUAAUUUUUAAGAAAAAUAAAUAAAUGUCAACUUUUAUAUUUAUUUCAUGAAACUGGACUGCAACGAGUCCUAGAAACCUGAAGAAAACUCUAAUAUCAUUUAACUAACUUUUUGUCAAUAUCAUGCCUGUUUAUGAGGGUACAAGUAACUUUUGCUUUGUCGAUUUUUUUUAUUAAUAUCUUUCUAAGUAAAUUUAUAGAUGUAUCUUGCAUUCAAU